AUGCCCGGUGGCUGCAAGGGUUCCGUUGCGCCGUGUUUGGGAUCGGCGAUUCAGGCUACCAGGGUUGCUGCAAAGAAGCUCCGUACAAGGCUUUCACAGCUUGGUGCAAAAUCGAUCAUAGGGAUUGGAUUGGGAGAUGACCAAGACUCUUCAGGAUAUGAAAAAGCUCUAGGUCCUUGGCUGCUGUCUUUCUGGAAAUCACUAACUCGAACAAAUCCGUCGCUUUCACCAAGAAUUCAGGCUCGUCCGCGUGCACUCAGACGAGCGUCCAAGCACUCCGAUGAGUGUCCGUGCACAUCAGCGCCUCUACCACAAACAUUCAGAAAAAAGAGGAUUCCCCUAGUGUGGAAAAUGGAUAGCUCUGGAAUCUACUCCUCACAAUGGUUAUAUGCUGCUUUCAACUUCUCUGUGUAG
rnacentral:rRNA from 1 species